UCCAGAGAGAAAGAGGGGACCCAC
rnacentral:piRNA from 1 species